AGUGAACGCUGGCGAUAGGCCUAACACAUGCAAGUCGAACGGCAGCACAGUAAGAGCUUGCUCUUACGGGUGGCGAGUGGCGGACGGGUGAGGAAUACAUCGGAAUCUACUUUUUCGUGGGUGAUAACGUAGGGAAACUUACGCUAAUACCGCAUACGACCUACGGGUGAAAGCAGGGGAUCUUCGGACCUUGCGCGAUUGAAUGAGCCGAUGUCGGAUUAGCUAGUUGGCGGGGUAAAGGCCCACCAAGGCGACGAUCCGUAGCUGGUCUGAGAGGAUGAUCAGCCACACUGGAACUGAGACACGGUCCAGACUCCUACGGGAGGCAGCAGUGGGGAAUAUUGGACAAUGGGCGCAAGCCUGAUCCAGCCAUACCGCGUGGGUGAAGAAGGCCUUCGGGUUGUAAAGCCCUUUUGUUGGGAAAGAAAAGCAGCAGGUUAAUACCCCGCUGUUCUGACGGUACCCAAAGAAUAAGCACCGGCUAACUUCGUG
rnacentral:rRNA from 1 species